rnacentral:rRNA from 1 species
GAUCAUGGCUCAGGAUGAACGCUGGCGGCGUGCUUAACACAUGCAAGUCGAACGAUUAAGGCGGCUUCGGCCGCGUAUAGAGUGGCGAACGGGUGAGUAACACGUGACCAACCUGCCCCGCGCUCCGGGACAACCGCUGGAAACGGCGGCUAAUACCGGAUGCUCCGGGGAGGCCCCAUGGCCUCCCCGGGAAAGCCCCGACGGCGCGGGAUGGGGUCGCGGCCCAUUAGGUAGACGGCGGGGUAACGGCCCACCGUGCCCGCGAUGGG